rnacentral:rRNA from 1 species
CACGUAGGGCGCGAGCGUUGUCCGGAAUUAUUGGGCGUAAAGGGCUCGUAGGCGGUUUGUCACGUCGGGAGUGAAAACUCAGGGCUUAACCCUGAGCGUGCUUCCGAUACGGGCUGACUAGAGGGAUGCAGGGGAGAACGGAAUUCCUGGUGUAGCGGUGGAAUGCGCAGAUAUCAGGAGGAACACCGGUGGCGAAGGCGGUUCUCUGGGCAUUUCCUGACGCUGAGGAGCGAAAGCAUGGGGAGCGAACAGG